ACAGCGGGAAGAUUUCGGUCGGACCAGUGCAUGCCUAGUGGCGGACGGGUGAGUAACGCGUGGGUAACCUGCCUUACACAGGGGGAUAACACUUAGAAAUAGGUGCUAAUACCGCAUGAGCGCACAGGACCGCAUGGUCGAGUGUGAAAAACUGAGGUGGUGUAAGAUGGACCCGCGUCUGAUUAGCUAGUUGGUGAGGUAACGGCCCACCAAGGCGACGAUCAGUAGCCGGCCUGAGAGGGUGGACGGCCACAUUGGGACUGAGACACGGCCCAAACUCCUACGGGAGGCAGCAGUGGGGGAUAUUGGACAAUGGGGGGAACCCUGAUCCAGCGACGCCGCGUGAGUGAAGAAGUAUCUCGGUAUGUAAAGCUCUAUCAGCAGGGAAGAAGAAAUGACGGUACCUGAGUAAGAAGCCCCGGCUAACUACGUGCCAGCAGCCGCGGUAAUACGUAGGGGGCAAGCGUUAUCCGGAAUUACUGGGUGUAAAGGGAGCGUAGACGGUGAUGUAAGUCUGGAGUGAAAGGCGGGGGCCCAACCCCCGGACUGCUCUGGAAACUAUGUGACUGGAGUGCAGGAGAGGUGAGCGGAAUUCCUAGUGUAGCGGUGAAAUGCGUAGAUAUUAGGAGGAACACCAGUGGCGAAGGCGGCUCACUGGACUGUAACUGACGUUGAGGCUCGAAAGCGUGGGGAGCAAACAGGAUUAGAUACCCUGGUAGUCCACGCCGUAAACGAUGAUCACUAGGUGUGGGUGGGUAUG
rnacentral:rRNA from 1 species